CUGGAGAAUUUGUGUCUGCAGGGGAGCUGCCCAGACUGCCACAUGCCCUGGGAAGAUGGAGGAUGCCCCAUGGAUCUAGUGUAAAGAGUAAUUGAAGACACUCCCCCUGUGCCAAACUCAUGAGAUUCGGCAGGGCAGCUCUGAGCAGAGAUGUUGUGGAGGAGAAUAUGCAACAGAUCCCAUAUGUGAUACUCAGAGUAUGGAUAUAUAUCCUCUGUGCUCUUUGAAAAUUUUAUUAAAGAACUAUAUUUCCGGGGUUUGUUUCUCCCAUUAUUUUGAACCAUGAACAACAACCACACAGGCAAUCUUCAUAUCAAUAAAACAAUGAUAGUAAUUAGCUGAUAUUUGCAAAAUACCUUAAACUGUUGUAAA